GACGAACGCUGGCGGCGUGCUUAACACAUGCAAGUCGAGCGGAGCGGCGAACGGGUGAGUAACGCGUGAGUAACUGCCCCCCUCUCUGGGAUAACAGUUGGAAACGGCUGCUAAUACCGGAUAGUGGGGGUUGACUCGGGUCCUAUCAGCUUGUCGGCGGGGUAGUGGCCUACCAAGGCGACGGCGGGUAGCCGGCCUGAGAGGGCGACCGGCCACAUUGGACUGAGAUACGGCCCGAACUCCUACGGGAGGCAGGAGGGGGGGAUAUUGCACAAUGGGGGAGACCCUGGUGCAGGAACGCCGCGUGCGGGAUGACGGCCUUCGGGUUGUAAGCCGCUUUCAGCCAAGACGCGGUAGUGGCAGAAGAAGCACCGGCUAACUACGUGCCAGCAGCCGCGGUAAUUC
rnacentral:rRNA from 1 species